rnacentral:miRNA from 1 species
UGAGGUAUCUUAGUUAGACAGA